rnacentral:rRNA from 1 species
UACGUAGGUGGCAAGUGUUGUCCGGAUUUAUUGGGUUUAAAGGGUGCGUAGGCGGUCUUCUAAGUCAGUUGUGAAAUACUUCAGCUUAACUGGAGAGGUGCAAUUGAUACUGGAAGACUUGAGUACUGAUGAGGUAGGCGGAAUGGACGGUGUAGCGGUGAAAUGCUUAGAUAUCGUCCAGAACACCGAUAGCGAAGGCAGCUUACUAAGGAGUAACUGACGCUGAGGCACGAAAGUGUGGGGAGCAAACAGG